AUUAUCAAAGAAGAAAAACACAUAAAACUACCAACAACAGCAAAGCAAAUAGUUUUACAUUUUAAUUAAAAACAAACAAAAAAAUGUCAAACAAAUUUGUUGCAUUGUUGUUGUUGUUGGUGUGUGUUGUAACUGUUCAAGGUAGUGGAAAAUUGAUGACCCCAGAAGAGUGCUAUAGUUAUUGCUACAAAUCCAUGUUUUAUCCAAAAGCCAUGGCAGAUCCUAUUUGCAAAUAUCGUUGUCAAUUCCCUAUGUACGAGAACGACCCUGGUUUUCCAACGGGAAUAGCCUUGAACGUAAGGAAGGGUCUUCCUUCCAAUUGAAACUCCUGCAAGUUUUCCGAUCCCAGCACCAAAAGUUCUUUGAGAAAUGGAAAAUUUGUGAUUGAACAUGAAAUAGCAUGAUAAGCAAAAAGAAUUCAAGAAAAGCAUUAGGCUUUCUAACGAAUCUAUGUACUAUCAUCAUUCCAUGUCGAUGAUGUCCCUUUUCUUCUUCUUUGUUAUUUGUUACGACUAUAUAUAGAUUAAAUUUAUUCUUUA